rnacentral:rRNA from 1 species
AACGAACGCUGGCGGCAUGCCUAACACAUGCAAGUCGAACGAGACCUUCGGGUCUAGUGGCGCCCGGGUGCGUAACGCGUGGGAACCUGCCCUUAGGUUCGGAAUAACUCCCCGAAAGGGGUGCUAAUACCGGAUAAUGUCUUCGGACCAAAGAUUUAUCGCCUUUGGAUGGGCCCGCGUUGGAUUAGCUAGUUGGUAGGGUAAAAGCCUACCAAGGCGACGAUCCAUAGCUGGUCUGAGAGGAGGAUCAGCCACACUGGGACUGAGACACGGCCCAGACUCCUACGGGAGGCAGCAGUGGGGAAUAUUGGACAAUGGGCGAAAGCCUGAUCCAGCAAUGCCGCGUGAGUGAUGAAGGCAUUAGGGUUGUAAAGCUCUUUUACCCGGGAUGAUAAUGACAGUACCGGGAGAAUAAGCUCCGGCUAACUCCGUG